AUUCAUCAGCAUGAAGUUAUACAGCAACACAGUAAUACACAGCCUGGAAUAUGUCUGUCUUCAUGUUUAAAUUGGUGCCUGAUUACUGCUUGAUCAUCCUGGCCUGUGAAGAACAGAGCUCAUUAGCAUCAACAUGGUGGAAUGCUCUGCAUUCUAUGGAAUUUGAAAUGCAGAGACUAUCUACGACCACAGUUACUGAGACAAGGAAGCUAGAAGGGAAUAAUACCAAAAUCAACAGAAUUCAGCUGAUUUAAAGGCCAACUGUCUUUUGAGUCAUCUCCUUUUAAAAACACCUUAUGACCAGAGAGGACAAUAAUGUAAGGAUCCUUUAUCUUGUUAAGUUUUGGGGGUUUAUAUUUCUAUCUUCCCAAGGAUGCAAAAGCAUCCAUGAAAAGUACUUGCCAGCCAUCUCCUAUCCUUACUGCCUUGAAGUAGACACUGAUAUUAG
ensembl:lncRNA